GACUCAGAUGAAUUCCUGAGACAAACACAGAAGGAAGCACCCGGAGGACAAGUGAUGGACCAAAAGGCUGUUCAGGAGGAGGAACACUCAGGGAGAAGCAGUGGCUCAUUGGCAGCCCUAGCUGCAGGAAGGAAGGCGAUGCCAGACACGGGCACAGGCACAGCAGAUGCAGCCGGAACCACAAGACCUGUUCCCAAUGCCCAGGAUGGCCUCGGAAGGGGUUUCUGUCAGGGAACAGGCUGCUGGCUAGGGUUACUGGCAGGCGUGCUUUCUUUGGAGCUUGUCUUCAUGUUGUGCUGCUUUGGAAUCGGGUAUUCCUGGAAGAGAAAACAGAGCACCUCGGGACAGGAGUUGGAAGACGGUGGCUGCACCUCACACCCAGACAGCGUGAGCAGCCCCUCCAGCAGCAGGAAUGGCCUGGACAGCCCUCUCAAGUGUUCUGUGAAGAGGACUCCAGAAUAACCGUCUACGACGAAGCCUCCUCUUACACUGUAGAUCCCACUGUCACCUGCUCUCCCCAUAGGCCUCCCCAAGCUGCCUUCAUCCCUUUUUUUAUCUCAGUCUCUCCCAUCCCAGCCAAUCCGAAUUCCUCUAGAGACCCCAGGACCAGCCCAGCAACCUCCAGCCCCUCCUCAGACCAACACAUCCCUUCCCCUGCCCCUGAGCCCUCUGGCCUUGCCCUCUAGGCAACACUGAAGGUGACACCCCACCCCCACCACCCCCCCGCUUGCAGGUUAGGCAAUGGCCCAUUCCUGUGUUGAAAUAAAGAGAUGGAUCUGUGUCCUAGUUUGAAAGCAAAACCAGUGAGAGACUCCAAGUCAGAAAUACAAUUUAUUAGGAAAAGGGAAAAAAAAACAAAAUACAUGCAAUAAUACAAAAGAAAAACCACUGACAGGGUCAGAAUACAGCCUGACACCCUGCUACUUAGGGUGGUGGUAGCAGUCCAGAUGAAAUGGACUUGUGGAAGUGGUGAUCCUGUCGAAACAAUCUGGUAGCUCUCAUCCUCUGGAAAAGCAGUGGGUAAGGGCGGCGGUUCCUCUGGGAAUCCAGUGGAAAGACUGCUUGUUGUGUCCCAAAACCCAGAUUAUAUCCAGCUGGGGAUGCUUAGCUCCUCCCCCAUGGGCAGAGCAUCUCACAGUGGGCUGAUAUCAUUCUGCCUCAUGCUGUGGGUCCUUGAUUAGCCAUGAAACAGAAAUGGCUCUGGGAGGGAGUUAUCUCUGAGUCAUGUGGCAAGACAUUGAUGGGCCCAUUAACAGGAGAUAAGGAAGAAACAAUGCCCCUCCUGGUUUCAGCAGCUCUUGAGGAUGGGAAUAGAACAUAAUUUUAUAUUAUAACCUAGGACAUAAUCUAACCCUUAUUCUAUUACCAUCUGUACCCAAACCAAUAUCCUCUUACUAUAGAUAUGUAUCUAUCUAUAUAUAUAUGUAUAAUAUAAAAUGAAACUUUACACACAAUUCUCGCUUCAAAUUAGGUUAG